rnacentral:sRNA from 1 species
GAACAAGAUCGUCUAAUGGGAUAUAGUGAAGUCUUUACUUUCCUUUUUGAUCCUAUUGAAUGUAAUAAGACUUCCUAUGUGCAUAAAUGUGAAACAGAUAUUUUAGUUGAAAAGCUCCCUGAAUGGACAUGAAUGCUACUGCAUGAUAGGAGAUGGGGAUCUUUUUCACCGAGGACUAGCUGAAUUCAUUCAUUGCACAAAAAAAUGUGGUGACCCCCAGAUGUUUUGUGACCCCCCCCUGACAGGUAAAGCAGCUGUGUUUACAGGUGAUAGACCUACAAAUCAAAGGAGGAGGGAGAUGUACUCUUACUCCCUCAUGCAAACCAAGCAUUUAUCUUCCAAAAUUAUACAGUUCUGUACAAUUUGCAAAUUAAGGAAUAUGGACUGGUAAGACGAUGGAAUUUCUCUGGGGAACUCUAUAAGGUGGUGGUGAUUCAUGGAGUAUGAAUUGUAGGUUCUCUUUUUCACAUGGGAUUUAAUUCAGGGCUGAAUGAAAUGAAGCUAGCUAGAAAUUACUUAUGAGCAAUAAGGAGUGUUAAUGUGGUAAUCUGUUCUGAGAAACUAUUUUGUGGUUUUCUUUUUUUGGUACAUAAUGUAGGAGUUCAUGACAAUGGGGGUUUAAUGCGGUGAUUGGAUUAUGAUGCAAUCAAUAAUUAUUGAACCAGACUCAAUGUCCCUGUUCAAAGAGAAAAAGUAUAUAAGAGGAGGAUUAACUGUGAUUUACUGGAUGAAAUACUGGUACCAAGAAAGACAACUCCAAACGAAAAAAUGCCAAACAGAACAAGAAAGAUAACUCAUCUCUGGACACUGAUCUCGAUAUUUGUUGCCUCUGAUUCCUUUGUACAAAAAUUUCAUGUACGAAAUGCCAGUAACUCAGAAUUUAUGAUAUGUAAACCAAUAGUGGUCAUUUCAAAGAAUUAAAAAGUCUGUAAGU